rnacentral:RNase_P_RNA from 2 species
AACGCAAGCCGCCUUAUCGUUCCGUCGCCUAGACGGGAAGGAAAGUCCGGGCAACGCAGAGCAUCCUGCUUCCUAACGGGAAGGGUUCCGGCACCUGCCGGAAUACAGCCAGUGCCACAGAAAACAAACCGCCACGGCGCAAGCCGGGGUAAGGGUGAAAAGGUGCGGUAAGAGCGCACCGGCCCGCUGGUGACAGGGGGCGCAUGGUAAACCUCAGGAGUUGAAAGACCAAAUAGGUCCCUCUUCCCCCUUUUGGGGGGCCAGAGUUGCUCGCUCAAAUUCCGGCCACUGGCCGGCAAGAGAGGGAUGGGUAGGUCGAUAGAGCCCGGUGGUGACACCGGGCCCAGAUAAAUGAUAGGGACCCAAAAUUCAUUUUGGGAUACAGAACCCGGCUUACAGGCUUGCGUUUACU